rnacentral:rRNA from 1 species
UACGAAGGUCCCAAGCGUUAUCCGGAUUUAUUGGGUUUAAAGGGUGCGUAGGCGGAUUAUUAAGUCAGUGGUGAAAGCUCCAGGCCUAACCUGGAAAUUGCCAUUGAUACUGAUGAUCUUGAGUACAUUUGAAGUGGGCGGAAUGUGUCAUGUAGCGGUGAAAUGCUUAGAUAUGACACAGAACACCGAUUGCGUAGGCAGCUCACUAAACUGUAACUGACGCUGAGGCACGAAAGCGUGGGGAGCAAACAGG